rnacentral:rRNA from 1 species
GACGAACGCUGGCGGCGUGCCUAAUACAUGCAAGUCGAACGCUUCUUUCCUCCCGAGUGCUUGCACUCAAUUGGAAAGCGGAGUGGCGGACGGGUGAGUAACACGUGUGUAACCUACCCAUCAGAGGGGGAUAACACUUGGAAACAGGUGCUAAUACCGCAUAACAGUUUAUGCCGCAUGGCAUAAGAGUGAAAGGCGCUUUCGGGUGUCGUUGAUGGAUGGACCCGCGGUGCAUUAGCUAGUUGGUGAGGUAACGGCUCACCAAGGCCACGAUGCAUAGCCGACCUGAGAGGGUGAUCGGCCACACUGGGACUGAGACACGGCCCAGACUCCUACGGGAGGCAGCAGUAGGGAAUCUUCGGCAAUGGACGAAAGUCUGACCGAGCAACGCCGCGUGAGUGAAGAAGGUGUUCGGAUCGUAAAACUCUGUUGUUAGAGAAGAACAAGGACGUUAGUAACUGAACGUCCCCUGACGGUAUCUAACCAGAAAGCCACGGCUAACUACGUG